rnacentral:rRNA from 1 species
CGGAUUGAAGGCUGAAAUUCGCCUUCAUGAAGCCGGAAUUGCUAGUAAUGGCAGGUCAGCAUACUGCCGUGAAUACGUUCCCGGGCCUUGUACACACCGCCCGUCACACCAUGAGAGUUGGGAAUACCCGAAGCCUGUGAGCUAACGUAAGAGGCAGCAGUCGAAGGUAGAAUCAAUGAUUGGGGUGAAGUCGUAACAAGGUACC